rnacentral:tRNA from 2 species
GGAGGGAUGCCCGAGCGGCCAAAGGGAGCAGACUGUAAAUCUGCCGGCUUAUGCCUUCGGUGGUUCGAAUCCACCUCCCUCCA